UAGUAACGGCGAGUGAAGCGGCAAAAGCUCAAAUUUGAAAUCGGCCAUCAGGUCGAGUUGUAAUUUGUAGAUUGUACCUUGAGAGCGGAUCAAAGUCUGUUGGAACACAGCGCCUUAGAGGGUGACAGCCCCGUAGGAUCUAUUCUCAUUGUAAGGUACUUUCGAAGAGUCGAGUUGUUUGGGAAUGCAGCUCUAAGUGGGAGGUAAAUUCCUUCUAAAGCUAAAUAUUGACGAGAGACCGAUAGCGAACAAGUACUGUGAAGGAAAGAUGAAAAGCACUUUGAAAAGAGAGUGAAAAAGUACGUGAAAUUGUUAAAAGGGAAGGGUAUUGAAUCAGACGUGGUGCUGUUGUUCAGUUGUGUUUCGGCAUGGCGUACUCAGCAGUACUAGGCCAAGGUGGGGUGUUUGGGAGUGAAAAAGGGAUAAGAAUGUGGCUCUUCGGAGUGUUAUAACUUGUCUUCAUAACUCCUCAGGCGCCUCACGACUGCGCUUCGGCAAGGACUUUGGCAUAAUGAUUCUAUACCGCCCGUCUUGAAACACGGAC
rnacentral:rRNA from 1 species